AAGUUGAAUUAUGUUGAAAAUUUAUAAAAUUUUAAACCGCCAAACCGAUUCGCAUCCAUCCGCCAAACCGCUAAUCCGCUCAAUCCAGAUUCGCCGGAUUGGUGGACAGAUGAGGAUUUAUUUUCUCCAAUUUGCCAAUCUAGAGGACGGAUGGCGGAUUUCAGGUUCCGUGGCCGCAACCGACCCGCACCCACCUCUAAUGAGUGGAGGCAUUACAAUUCUUCAAGGCCAAGAGACAACAAAGAAGAUCAUUUCCUUAAGGAUGCAAAACAGAUUAUAACAUAUAUUGAGAACAAGUUGAGCAACAAAAGGAAGAGAAGUACAAGAAAGUUUGCAAACUUGGUUUUGGUGAAAGAUAGUCCACAACAACACUCAACAUCAUAAUGUUGAUUGCGAAAUUAUUAUUUGUUCUAUCAUGCGUCAAAUCAUAAGAGAUGAGCCUAUUGCAAAGUCUAUGGAAGAGGAUGAAAUUAACAAUUUUUGAGCAUCAACAGUACAUCAAUUUUUAAAUGAUUAUCCAAAAGCAUGGAGGAACAAUUCAACCUCAAAAGAAAAAUACCCAAUAGAUAAGACCUCGAGGACGAUGAUGUAGACAACUUUUGGGAACUACUUUUUUGUAUCUAUGAAUGAUGUAUGUAAUUUUGCUUUUUUCAAAUGAAAGAAUUUUGAAAUAGUAAUUGUAAGUGAAAGAAUGCUAAAAGAGUA